rnacentral:rRNA from 1 species
CUUAAACUGAAGAGUUUGAUCAUGGCUCAGAUUGAACGCUGGCGGCAGGCCUAACACAUGCAAGUCGAGCGGUAACAGAUC